rnacentral:rRNA from 1 species
GAGUUUGAUCGUGGCUCAGAUUGAACGCUGGCGGCAGGCCUAACACAUGCAAGUCGAGCGGUAGAGAGAAGCUUGCUUCUCUUGAGAGCGGCGGACGGGUGAGUAAUGCCUAGGAAUCUGCCUGGUAGUGGGGGAUAACGCUCGGAAACGGACGCUAAUACCGCAUACGUCCUACGGGAGAAAGCAGGGGACCUUCGGGCCUUGCGCUAUCAGAUGAGCCUAGGUCGGAUUAGCUAGUUGGUGAGGUAAUGGCUCACCAAGGCGACGAUCCGUAACUGGUCUGAGAGGAUGAUCAGUCACACUGGAACUGAGACACGGUCCAGACUCCUACGGGAGGCAGCAGUGGGGAAUAUUGGACAAUGGGCGAAAGCCUGAUCCAGCCAUGCCGCGUGUGUGAAGAAGGUCUUCGGAUUGUAAAGCACUUUAAGUUGGGAGGAAGGGCAGUAAUUAAUACUUUGCUGUUUUGACGUUACCGACAGAAUAAGCACCGGCUAACUCUGUGCCAGCCG